UACGGGGGGGGCAAGCGUUGUUCGGAAUUACUGGGCGUAAAGGGCUCGUAGGUGGCCAACUAAGUCAGACGUGAAAUCCCUCGGCUUAACCGGGGAACUGCGUCUGAUACUGGAUGGCUUGAGUUCGGGAGAGGGAUGCGGAAUUCCCGGUGUAGCGGUGAAAUGCGCAGAUAUCGGGAAGAACGACCCGUGGCGAAGGCGGUUCUCUGGGACGGUACUGACGCUGAGACGCGAAAGCGUGGGGAGCGAACAGGG
rnacentral:rRNA from 1 species